GGGGCCGGGUCCAGGAGAGCCAAGGAGAUGCCUGUUCGUAGGGAGUUUGCACUCAGGCAGCGAAGGCAUGAGCCUGGCGAUCCAGGGCAGGGAGCGAGUGCAGGGACCGGGGAGAAGGAGGCAGUGUUGUCGAACGGCAGGCCACCAGCCCAUUAGUGGGUCAUGAAAUUAACUUAGUGGGUCACGACCAGCAUUUUUAAAAAAAAUUAAAUAGAGCAGAAAAAUAUCACAGAAUGUUAUUACAGGAUCGCAUCCACAAUUAGGGGCAAAUGUUUCUUUAUAGCUUUUGUUUCCAUGUUACACAUCAAUGUGCUGCGUGUCUGGGGAUGUAAAGUACAUUUCUUAUUUGGGGUCAUAGUGAAAAUGGUUGGAAAACAGUAACUGAAGGCAUAUUGGAACACCCAUCCUGGGAAUCAGGAAGACCUUGUUGGAGAAAAUGACCUCUAAAAAGACCUAUCAUAUUAGUAAAAGGUCAUCAAACAGAGGAUAGAAAGAUAGGAGCCUAUUCUAGGCAGAAGGAAUCACCUAAAAACUCCAGGGAUGGAAGGAGGGGCAGAGCGAGCGAGCAAAGGAACCAAAACAGAGAACUGGUUGUUAAUUUCCACACAAAUAUAAGUAUAUUCCCACCUUGUGCCUUCUGGUGUCCCCUCCCCUGCCCUUGCCAGCCUUCCUUUUCUUUCUUUUUCUUUUGUCUUUUUAGGGCCGCACCCUCAGCAUAUGGAGCNCCCUUAAAAAAAAAAAAAAAAAAAAAAAAAAAGAUCUUGGGCACAGGCUUCCAGCUAAUUUGUCUGAGCUUUUUUUUUUCUUUCUUAAUUUUAUUUUAUUGGAGUAUUGUUGACUUACAGUGUUGUAUUAGUUUCAAGUAUACAGUAAAGCGAAUCACUCAUACAUAUAAAUAUAUCCAUUCUUUUCUCCCAUGUAGGUCGUUACAAACCAUUGAGUAGAUUUUCCUGGGCUUCGCAGUAGGUUCUCGUUUAUUAUCUCUUUUAUACAAUCGAGUGUCUAUGUUAUUCCCGUGCUCUCAAUUCUCCCCUCCCCUCAACAGUUUCACCUACAGUAACCAUAAGAUUGAAGUCUGUGAGUUCAUUUCUGUUUUAUAGAUAAGUUCUUUUGUAUCUUUUUUUAUUAUUAGAUUCCACACAUAAGUGAUGUUGGUCUGAGGGUUUUUGAGCCUCUCGAGGGAAAUGUCCUGUGCGGCUGGGAUGGAAACUCUCUCCAUCCCUGGGGAAACUAAAGUGGAGGAACUAGCAGGACAGCCUGACAGGCUAAGGUGAGGAGAAGAAAUAAAUUCUCUCCUUAAGUGUGGGCCAGAGUCCCGUGCCCCCCGCCCCCCCGCCCCCCGGCACUGCCCUGCUCCGGGAAGGCUGGCUCUCUGCCCUGGUGAAUCACGGGCUCAGUGGGGAGUGAUCUGUUUGCUGCUAAGCGCUCGUCUAUGGCUGCUUUUCUAGAGCUGGAGCCAUUUGCAGAUGGGAACAGCACUCAUCUCUGGCAGGGGCGCCCCAUGCCCAGCACCAGCCCAGUGCCUUGAAAUAGAUCCUUCUGCAGAGGCUGAGCAGGCAAGGGCACAAGCAGGGCACGUGGCAGGGGUGCAAGCAAACCCAUGUGUCCAAUGGGCCUCGUGGUGGCUUCCCCAGAGCAGGUGGACGGGGCUUGCCCUGGUUAUCCUUGACCCCAGGGCACCCAGGGAACUUAUUUGAUGUCGGUGGAAGGUUCCUUGGAGGUCAGGCCAUCAGCCCCUGUCUUUCCUCACUUCUCCCUGACUGCUUACCUGUUUUGUCCCCACCCCACAUACGGUCCCACUGGGGAAAUGUCAUCAUACCUAAGACAAGGAUUACAAAGCAAAACAAAAUAAUAGGAGCAAAUAAACAGAAACCUAAUCAAACAACAAGUCUCAUUUCAACCCAGGAUUUCACAGGUCCCUGUGAAAUCUUAGACAUCUGGUCUACCACAGGUCAUUUGUCAGACAUGAGAACAUGCAGAGUUCCUCCAAACCUCAGCAUUUCCCUUGGAAUCUCAGACAGAUGAAGAAGAGCUCCCACAAUAAAUACCCCUUCUCCCUUUAGUUCUGUCUGGGACAGAGACUCAAGAACAUAUGAUCUCAUGUGUCUGAAAACUAGAUUUUGAGUCCUGGUCUUAAUGAUUACUAGCUGUGCGCUUUAGGGCAAGUCACUUAACCUCUCUGAGUCUUAGUUUCUUCAUCUCUUAAAUGAGUAACAAAAGUGCAGUUAUCACAGGACCGAAGCAAGAGCUGAGAUGAUGCUGAUGCUGGAGGAAGGGUCUGACAGACUUUAAAGUGCUGAACCGAUGUUUAAUUAGGCAUCACUCAUCUCCUCUGCUGGAGUGUAAGCUCCAUGAGGGCAGGAAUCUGGUUCUUUUAAACUGCUGCAUCGCCAGCACCUAGAAUAGCUCGUGACACAUGGUAGUCACUCACGUGUUGAAUAAAUUAACAGAAGACUGACCAGUUCUCCAGGACGCAGAACUUGGGCAGGUCACAUCACUUCUUUGCAACACAGCCUCAGCGCCUCUGAGAUGUAACACUGCCCAUGUCUCUGCAGAGCCCAGCAGAGUUCCUGACUCAGAUGUCCUACCUUACGCAUGUGUCAGUGAUCGGCUACCUGGAUUAUGAACCUGCCAGCACACCACUGUCUCCUUGGCCUUGUCUCGCUGCCGGGGCCCCCACGAUGCACUUCCCAUGUAGGCUGGGGUGUAGGGACAAAGAGCAGCUCUGACAGGAUGUUGAUAAACCCUUCGCAAAUACAAGGAGCCACGUAACCUUCCGAGCUCUCGCUUCUUGGUAUUUAGUAAUAAUCUACCGGCUCCUGGGGAGCGUUACAAGGAGGUUAUGUGGUUCUUGGUCCAAGAAGGUUAGAGGAGGAGGAAGCAGGUGUGGGCUCACCCGAGGGUCCUGGAGACUGGAGGGUGGGCCCCACCUGGCCCUGGGCUGGGGCUCACUGAG
rnacentral:lncRNA from 1 species